rnacentral:rRNA from 1 species
CAAACUGAAGAUGGCGACCGGCGCACGGGUGGGUAACACGUAUCCAACCUGCCGAUAACUCCGGAAUAGCCUUUCGAAAGAAAGAUUAAUACCGGAUAGUAUACGAAUAUCGCAUGAUAUUUUUAUUAAAGAAUUUCGGUUAUCGAUGGGGAUGCGUUCCAUUAGUUUGUUGGCGGGGUAACGGCCCACCAAGACUACGAUGGAUAGGGGUUCUGAGAGGAAGGUCCCCCACAUUGGAACUGAGACACGGUCCAA